rnacentral:rRNA from 1 species
AGAGUUUGAUCAUGGCUCAGGACAAACGCUGGCGGCGUGCCUAACACAUGCAAGUCGAACGGACCAGGUUCUUUCGGGAGCCUGGUGAGUGGCGGACGGGUGAGUGACACGUGGAUGACGUACCCUGGUGUGGGGGAUACCCUUCAGAAAUGAGGGCUAAUACCGCAUACGAUCGCGCGGGUCAGACCGCGCGAGGAAAGCUGUUGGGGCAACCUGAUGGCGCACCAUUGGAGCGGUCCGCGGCCGAUUAGCUGGUUGGUGGGGUAAUGGCUCACCAAGGCGACGAUCGGGAGCUGGUCUGAGAGGAUGAUCAGCCACACUGGGAUUGAGAACGGCCCAGACUCCUACGGGGGGCAGCAGUGGGGAAUAUUGCGCAAUGGGCGAAAGCCUGACGCAGCGACGCCGCGUGAGGGAUGAAGGCCUUCGGGUUGUAAACCUCUUUCAGCAGGGACGAAGCGAAAGUGACGGUACCUGCAGAAGAAGCACCGGCCAACUACGUGCCAGCAGCCGCGGUAAUUC